AAUGAACGUUGGCGGCGUGGAUUAGGCAUGCAAGUCGAGCGAGAAGAGUUUGGUAGCUUGCUAUUGAACUCGGAAAGCGGCGAAAGGGAGAGUAACGCGUAGUUAUGUACCCAGGGGUUCGGAAUAGCCACGGGAAACUGUGGGUAAUGCCGAAUAACAUCUCCGGAUCAAAGGUGUGAUUCCGCCCUUGGAGCAGACUGCGUCCUACUAGCUAGUUGGCGGGGUAAUGGCCCACCAAGGCGACAAUGGGUAGCGGGUGUGAGAGCAUGGCCCGUCUCCCUGGGACUGAGACACUGCCCAGACACCUACGGGUGGCUGCAGUCGAGAAUCUUCGGCAAUGGGCGAAAGCCUGACCGAGCGACGCCGCGUGCGGGAUGAAGGCCCUCGGGUUGUAAACCGCUGUCGUAGGGGAGGAAGGCUCCGUGAAGAACGGGGUUUGACCUAUCCUAGGAGGAAGUACGGGCUAAGUUCGUGCCAGCCGCCGCGGUAAGAC
rnacentral:rRNA from 1 species